GAAGGUAUAGCUCAGUGGUAGAGUGCAUGCUUAGCAUGCACAGGAUCCUGGGCUCAAUCCCUAGUACCUCCU
rnacentral:tRNA from 1 species